rnacentral:rRNA from 1 species
UACGUAGGGGGCAAGCGUUAUCCGGAUUCACUGGGUGUAAAGGGGGCGCAGACGGCGAUGCAAGCCAGGAGUGAAAGCCCGGGGCCCAACCCCGGGACUGCUCUUGGAACUGCGUGGCUGGAGUGCAGGAGGGGCAGGCGGAAUUCCUGGUGUAGCGGUGAAAUGCGUAGAUAUCAGGAGGAACGCCGGUGGCGAAGGCGGCCUGCUGGACUGCAACUGACGUUGAGGCUCGAAAGCGUGGGGAGCAAACAGG